ensembl:lncRNA
ACCAUCACUCUUGUGCCACAUGCGGUCACAGGGAACUGGUAUACAGCAAAGGAAGGUGUGGACCCCACAGGACUGCAAGGUGGGUCACUUCCUCCCAGUAGACUGACUGAAUCCAGACUCAGUCGAGGCAGUGUAACAUCUCUAGCCACCACUACCACAAACUGACCAUCUCUUAUACACUGGACAGUCACUGGAACAAAAGGUACAAGAGCAGGUUAAUGUUGAGGAUCAGUUUAACUAAGAGCAGAACACUGACUCACUCUUACCUGCCUUCCCAUAGUAACACUGCUGUCCACUAAAGCAGCAGUUGAUAGCUUCACAUUCAGCACUACUGAUACCAGGCUGUCCACAUUGGAUCUGCUCAUAAUCAGCUACAGCACAUUUGUCCAAAGGCUCAGCCUUCGCUACUGGCUUCUGAAUCUGAAGCUUCUGAGGAAACUGCUGAUUAGUCUGUUGAACUGGCUUCUGAAACUGCGGCUUCUGAGGAAACUGCUGAUAAGUCUGUUGAACUGGCUUCUGAAUCUGAAGCUUCUGAGGAAACUGCUGAUUAGUCUGUUGAACUGGCUUCUGAAACUGCUGCUUCUGAGGAAACUGCAGAUUAGUCUGUUGAACAGGCUUCUGAAUCUGAAGCUUCUGAGGAAACUGCUGAUUAGUCUGUUGAACAGGCUUCUGAAACUGCUGGUCAGUUUGCUGGAGCAUCUGAGCUUGAGGGUUCUGGGGCAGUUUACUCAACUUUGGAAGAGCAUGACAGAAAGCACACAGUGCCAAUACCUGAACCAACCACCAACUUCCAGCCAUUGUCCAACAGCUAAUCACACU